rfam:Ciona savignyi cont_26664, whole genome shotgun sequence.
UCCCAGGUGGUCUAGUGGUUAGGAUUCGUGGCUCUCACCCACGCGGCCCGGGUUCGAUUCCCAGUCUGGGAA